rnacentral:rRNA from 1 species
AUUGAACGCUGGCGGCAGGCCUAACGCAUGCAAGUCGAGCGGAUGAAGGGAGCUUGCUCCUGGAUUCAGCGGCGGACGGGUGAGUAAUGCCUAGGAAUCUGCCUGGUAGUGGGGGAUAACGUCCGGAAACGGGCGCUAAUACCGCAUACGUCCUGAGGGAGAAAGUGGGGGAUCUUCGGACCUCACGCUAUCAGAUGAGACUAGGUCGGAUUAGCUAGUUGGUGGGGUAAAGGCCUACCAAGGCGACGAUCCGUAACUGGUCUGAGAGGAUGAUCAGUCACACUGGAACUGGGACACGGUCCAGACUCCUACGGGAGGCAGCAGUGGGGAAUAUUGGACAAUGGGCGAAAGCCUGAUCCAGCCAUGCCGCGUGUGUGAAGAAGGUCUUCGGAUUGUAAAGCACUUUAAGUUGGGAGGAAGGGCAGUAAGUUAAUACCUUGCUGUUUUGACGUUACCAACAGAAUAAGCACCGGCUAACUUCGUG